UACGUAGGUGGCAAGCGUUGUUCGGAAUUAUUGGGCGUAAAGGGCGCGUAGGCGGUUUGUUAAGUCGGCUGUGAAAGCCCGGGGCUCAACCCCGGAGGGUCAGCCGAUACUGGCAGACUAGAGUACGGAAGAGGUAGCUGGAAUUCCCGGUGUAGCAGUGAAAUGCGUAGAUAUCAGGAGGAACACCGGUGGCGAAGGCGGGUCUCUGGGCCGAUACUGACGCUGAGGAGCGAAAGCGUGGGGAGCG
rnacentral:rRNA from 1 species